AAUCAUCUGUGAAUGAUGAUUCCAGACCAUACCAUCUAGUGUUUAUAUCUUAUUAAAUUGUUCAGAUGUUGGGGAAAUAAAUUUUGACUGUAUUGUCAUUCUUAAUUGAGAAGGAUUAUACUGGGCCCUGCACGAUAGCCUGGUGGCUAAAUCCUCACCUUGCAACCACCAGCAUCCCAAACGGCCUUUGAUUUGUGUCCUGGCUGCUUC